ACACUGAAGUGGAUUUAACAGGUGACAUCAAUAAGGGAUCAUAGCUUUCACCUGGUCAGUUUGUCAGGGAAAGAGAAUGUUUUGUACUCAGUGUGUUUUUGCUGUUUUAAGAACAUUCAGAAUUUCUAUUUGACGAUGGGAUCAAGUUCUAUUGUUUGAUAUUCCAUUUGAGACUUUAGUCAAUAUGUUGGUCUGCCCUGUAAUUGAAUUUACUGUAGAAUCAAAGCUGAGGUUUUUGGCUUGUCACACCAUAGAUUGUGCAGAGAUAUAUUUGCUGUCACCUACUUACAGCCAAGCCAGCACUAUAUGCGUUUUAAUAGAUUCAUUAUUAUGUAAUUUUCUUAAUUUAAUCCUUUUCCCAUUUUUGUGUUUUCAAAAGAGCAAUACUUCAUAGAGAAAUUAACAUCCUCCUAGCUGACUUAGAAGACCCUGAGUGUUCAAAUCCUGCUGUGCCUGGUGCAUCACACAGUUGGAGUGUGAGGAAGGAACUCUCACAGGAUAGGUGGAGAGAGUCCAGGCCUGAGAUUGUAGAUUCUCUGCUGGUUGCAGAGCAUGCUUCUCAGAAGAUCUGUCAGUCAUGCAAUGUGAAAAGGGCUAUUCUGCGAUGUAGAGACCGUCUGCCGAAACAGCUUUUACUGUGAAGACUGCGAUGUCUCUACACAUGCAAAGUUCCCCCUGCACAACAGACCGUCCAUGAUCGAGGGGUUCUACACGACCCUUGCUCCAACUACAGCCAUAUCUCUCCACAGUGAUGGCAAAUAUGCACUUCACGAACAGGGUCGCUACAAUGUUACAGUGCCUCUACUGACCUGCACAACCUGUCUUAGCACCUGGACAGCAAACUUGGCAGAUCUGUUUAAGAAUGGGUACUGGCCUGCCACUGUGAACUGUGACACCAUAUACCAGGUAGAUCUGUUCAGCUCUUUUGAGGAGCUGAAAGUGUCAGCCCCAGGAAUGUCCCAUCUGGCGUUUAUGUGGAUUUUGGAGCAGCGAACUGACUUCUUUGGCAGGGUAACAAUCAAUUAUACUCAGCUUUACCAAUGUAUGACUUCAGGUUAACUAUGUUACAUUUUGUUACAACACUUUGCGUAACAUAACUUUAUUUCCAGUACUACAACUAUGUUAACAUUUUAGGUCUCUUGCUACAGUACGUGUUAGCCUCCUGCACCACUGUCCUGCCAUGCACCUUAUCUGUGCCCCUCUUGCAUCCAAUAUUUCCUGCUCUUUACAACAUAAGUACUCGUCCUACUUUUGCGUUGGCUUUCACCUGCUUUGCUGUCAACACUAUGUACUGGCCCUGCGUUAACUUAAAUCCAGUAAGCCAUAGUGAAUUAUAGUAUGUUUUGUUUAUACUAUUGUUGAAAGUUAUUUCAUAUAUUUUCUAUGUGUUUUUCCCUUACCAGAAUGGAAUGAUCUGUGGGGACACUUUUCAAAAAAGCUUCUUUGAGUGGACGUACUUCCGCUCUGAAGUUGAUCCAGUCUGUGAUAUACAGGACUUUGACUGCCCAGCCUGGUCUGUGAUAUACAGGACUUUGACUGCCCAGCCUGGUCUGUGAUAUACAGGACUUUGACUGCCCAGCCUGGUCUGCGAUAUACAGUACUUUGACUGCCCAGCCUGGUCUGUGAUAUACAGGACUUUGACUGCCCAGCCUGGUCUGUGAUAUACAGGACUUUGACUGCCCAGCCUGGUCUGUGAUAUACAGGACUUUGACUGCCCAGCCUGGUCUGUGAUAUACAGGACUUUGACUGCCCAGCCUGGUCUGCGAUAUACAGUACUUUGACUGCCCAGCCUGGUCUGUGAUAUACAGGACUUUGACUGCCCAGCCUGGUCUGUGAUAUACAGGACUUUGACUGCCCAGCCUGGUCUGUGAUAUACAGGACUUUGACUGCCCAGCCUGGUCUGUGAUAUACAGGACUUUGACUGCCCAGCCUGGUCUGUGAUAUACAGUACUUUGACUGCCCAGCCUGGUCUGUGAUAUACAGUACUUUGACUGCCCAGCCUGGUCUGUGAUAUACAGUACUUUGACUGCCCAGCCUGGUCUGUGAUAUACAGGACUUUGACUGCCCAGCCUGGUCUGUGAUAUACAGUACUUUAUAUCAUUUAAACAAUCCAAACAAGGUUUGCCUUUUCUUUGUCCAGUGUGAACGUUUUCAAAUGCAGUGGAGUUCAUUUUUAGCUUAAACGUUUUGAGUUUGUAAUGUAAUGAAUUAUCAACAUUGUCAAGUGUCCCACAAUCAGUUACUGAGGUUGAUUGAUAUUUCAUAUGUCAUAUAUUUAAUGUAUUUCACGCAUCCUUUCAAGGGCUGAUGACAAAGGAUUCUUUGAUGGCGUAUUUAUCUGCAAGGAUGAGGAUGUGUCUGACUUUGUGAACUAUGUCCAUAGAAAGACUAAACAUGUACGUUUCCUGUGUAUCUUCUAAUCUGUGAAAUAGGACUGGCCUCAAAGGCAGACUCGUUAUACACUAUUCCAAUAAAAACACAUCAUUUUGGAGAGAUGGUCAUCCUCUCUCUUCAAGUCCAGGGUUGUUACACCACUCCCUCUGUUCAGAAAUGCAACACACUUUACAAGCGCUUCUUUUUGACAGUCAAUUUCCAACUUCUGAUCUCCAUUGUAGCGACCACAGCGGGUAGCUCUGCGCCCUCAGCUAGAUUUUAAAAACCUAACCACUGUCCUGUUAACAUUUCCCCCCCCAAUUUUUUUCUUCUUCUACCUAUACUCUUCUACUUCCUUGUCUAGGGUUAUGGAAAAGGGUUAUGUGGAGCAUCCCAGUGGACAGCAGCUAAAGAGUCGUCAAGGGAAACAAACAACAAACUUGAUGAAGAGGGACUCGAAGUUGCCGUCUGCCGCCACGGAAUACUUCUAAGGAGCCUCAACAUGAUGCGUGGAGAGAUAUUUGCGUACCCACUGUUCUUGCAGAAGGAAUUGUCUGGCAGCAGGAACAUACAAUUCAUGUGUACGGAUGUGAUCUGAAAAUGUUGGCCAUACCUGACCAAAGUUGCUUGUCAUUGUCCAGAGCUCGCCACUCUUCUAGACAUGAAGCCACUCCUUUCCGUCAUGCAUGCAAAGGCACAUCAUUUGAAAUGCCAGAUUAAGUGGGGAGGACGGAAUCAGGAAGGAGCUGGCACAACUCUGGGGAAGGAAAUGGAACAAGGGUGCAGCUUCUUGUCGAGGGCUGCAAUCUGUUCCAAACAAGUGUCCAAAGGAGACAACAGCAAAAAUCCAGGAGGAGACCCACACUCUCGAAAAGUUCAAGAGUGAUUUGGGUUUAGGCGAUGAGUCUGUAUAACUGGACAAAGGAAGUUCAGCAAUGGGCUAAUACAGGUAAAUGAAUACAACAAAUAAAUAAUCCUAAAUGUAACUUGACGUAGUGGACAGGCUUGCGUACUCCAAUGACCCUGAGAGCUAACCCUUAGAGGGUGUUUUCCACCGGCAGGUGCAAUCAAGCCGGACAGGUGGAAGGGUAGGAUGCAGACAAACAUUCCCUGGUUAUCCAGGUUGGGGCUCACUCACCCCCCACAUAACAAAUCAUAUACCCCCAUCGCGACGUCCCCCAAAGACUAACUUGCUAGCCCCUGCUAACUGCUAGCUUGCCUGCCCGGUCUGCUAACUGUU